UUCCAGACUCCUACGGGAGGCAGCAGUGGGGGAUAUUGCACAAUGGGGGAAACCCUGAUGCAGCGACGCCGCGUGGGUGAAGAAGCGCCUCGGCGCGUAAAGCCCUGUCAGCAGGGAAGAAAAUGACGGUACCUGAGGAAGAAGCCCCGGCUAACUACGUGCCAGCAGCCGCGGUAAUACGUAGGGGGCAAGCGUUAUCCGGAUUUACUGGGUGUAAAGGGGGCGCAGACGGCGAUGCAAGCCAGGAGUGAAAGCCCGGGGCCCAACCCCGGGACUGCUUUUGAAACUGUGUUGCUAGAUUGCAGGAGAGGUAAGUGGAAUUCCUAGUGUAGCGGUGAAAUGCGUAGAUAUUAGGAGGAACACCAGUGGCGAAGGCGGCUUACUGGACUGUAAAUGACGCUGAGGCUCGAAAGCGUGGGGAGCAAACAGGAUUAGAUACCCGAGUA
rnacentral:rRNA from 1 species